GAUGAACGCUGGCGGCGUGCCUAAUACAUGCAAGUCGAGCGAACAGACGAUGAGCUUGCUCCUCUGACGUUAGCGGCGGACGGGUGAGUAACACGUGGAUAACCUACCUAUAAGACUGGGAUAACUUCGGGAAACCGGAGCUAAUACCGGAUAAUAUAUUGAACCGCAUGGUUCAAUAGUGAAAGACGGUUUUGCUGUCACUAAUAGAUGGAUCCGCGCCGCAUUAGCUAGUUGGUAAGGUAACGGCUUACCAAGGCAACGAUGCGUAGCCGACCUGAGAGGGUGAUCGGCCACACUGGAACUGAGACACGGUCCAGACUCCUACGGGAGGCAGCAGUAGGGAAUCUUCCGCAAUGGGCGAAAGCUUGACGGAGCAACGCCGCGUGAGUGAUGAAGGUCUUCGGAUCGUAAAACUCUGUUAUUAGGGAAGAACAAAUGUGUAAGUAACUAUGCACGUCUUGACGGUACCUAAUCAGAAAGCCACGGCUAACUACGUG
rnacentral:rRNA from 1 species